rnacentral:lncRNA from 1 species
GUGUCCUCAACGUAUAGCGAGGCGAGGGAACUAUGGUGCAUUCUUGAUGGAUAAUCUUCCUUUGGUGAAAUCACUUGUUGAAAAGUUAGCUCAGAACCUCACUGUUCCUGUCUCCUGCAAGAUCCGGAUUUUCCCUAACCUUCAAGAUACGCUCAACUACGCCAAGAUGCUUGAAGACGCUGGUUGCUCGCUGCUAGCGGUUCACGGCCGGACCAGAGAUGAGAAAGACGGUAAAAAGUUCAGAGCCGAUUGGGGCGCCAUCAAGGAGGUGAGAAACGCUCUGAGAAUCCCUGUUUUAGCCAAUGGGAAUGUGAGAUGCAUUGAAGAUGUGGAGGACUGCAUCAAAGAGACGGGCGUUGAAGGUGUUCUUUCCGCUGAGACGCUUCUUGAAAACCCGGCGGUCUUUGCCGGGUUUAGAACAGCUGAAUGGGCUAAAGAUAAUGAAGGAGAGGGAUACGUCGAUGGAGGGUUAGAUCAGGGAGAUUUAGCUGUUGAGUAUUUGAAGUUAUGUGAGAAACAUCCGGUUCCUUGGAGGAUGAUUCGGUCUCACGUGCAUAAGAUGUUGGGAGAUUGGUUUAGAGUGCAUCCACAGGUUAGGGAGCAGCUUAAUGCUCAGAACAUUUUGACGUUUGAGUUUCUGUAUGGUCUUGUGGAUCAGUUAAAAGAGCUUGGUGGACGAGUUCCACUCUACAAGAAAAGGAAGAUAGAUACCCUACAAGAGUCUCCACAAAAGGAUUUAGAGAGUUGAAUCUAUACGUUCUUGAUUCAUUGUGAUUUUUAUGUUGUAUCUCCAAAUACUUUUUGAAUUAAAAGUGUUACUUACUCCCUAUAAUUCAUUUUAAAAUGUCAUUUUAACACUUUUUGUUAUUUUCAAAUUUCAGUACAACAUUCCACUUAUUUUAAGCUUAAUAUAUUAAUUUCUAAAUAAUUUUAUAUUCUCAAAUACUAUUAGUUAAAAAUGUGUAACUAAUAACAUAAAUACAUUUCAAUUAUUUUUUAAAAAUUGUGAAAUAUCAAAAAUAUACAUAUGGAUGGAUAUAAAUUAAAUGUUAGAUUAAUAUUUUUUGUAGCUAAGUUCCUUCUCAAGAAUAUAGGGGUGGGCACUUCGGUUAUUUUAUCGGUUCGGUUCGAGUUUGGUUCGGUUUGGUUAGUUCAGUUCUAGAUUUUUUUCAGCUGAAGUAAACCAUAGUUAGUUUGGUUUGGAUCGAUUUCGGUUCAGUUAUGUUCGGUUCGGUUUAUAUUCGGUUUGGUUCAUAUUCAAUUCGGUUUGUAUUUCGGUUCGGUUCAGUUUAAUCGGAUUUUUCUUAGUUUAUUUAUUGUACAAGAAAUUAUGUUUUAAUACAUAAAUGUAUGGUUGUCAUGAAAUAAUCAUGUUGGUCAUAAUAGCCGCCGUGAAGAUCGACGACAUCCUUCCCGGCACAUCUCCACCGUCGCCGCGUGGUCCGUCGACUAAGAUCACAUCCCAGUCAAGAUCGUAGACGUGGUUCGGCAAGUCGUUGAGACCGAGUUUGCAGUCGGAGAAGAGAAGAUUCUGCACGGGACGACACUCGUUCCUCGCCGCCUCUUUGACCGCCGACACAAGCUCACGCGCCUCGCGCGCCUUCGUCGUGUACUGAACGUCGAACACUUCGAUCUCCGGGUGGAUUUCUUCGAAGUAAGCCGCGUAGUAACGGUUCUCUUCGAUGUACACGGUCCGUCCGUUGUGGUUCAGCGAUUUCCAGAGGAGCGUUUCGUGCGUUAGGCCGAAAACGAGGAGAUUGCACGGCGGAGCGCAGCGGCGGAGGACGUCGGAGAUCGAUUUCAUCUCUCCGUAUGACAUGUGGAAGCUGUCGUUAGAUCUCGACGCGUAGUGGAGCAGAGCAUUGAUGGCGCUCGUUGGCAACUGAGAGGUCGGAGUGUUGGAGACGGCUGAGUUGACGACGGAGGAGACGACGGUGCUGUUUUUGGAAGAGAUGAUGGUGUCGGUGGUGUAGAGUAGAGUGAGUAGAAAAGCGAUGGUGAAGAAAGAGACAAAAGCGAGAAGCCAUAGACGAUUUGAGCUUGUUUGUUUUUGAAUGUAUGGAUGAACAAGUAUGAGCUUCGUGUUUGUGUUUCCUCCGCUUUUCAUUUUUCUUACCUCUGUUUUUUUGUUUUGUUCCUUUUUGUCAGAGGAAGAAACGAAGCGAAUGACUCCGUUUUAAAAGUGGUUUUGCGAAGUAUUAAAAACCAAAUAUUUGAAGUAGAACCUAUCAGAGACUGACGACGAUUGGUCAAUCCUAUAAUAUAUAAUUUUAAUAUUCUAUAAUAUUAAUUGAUCGCUCUGGAAUUUUUAUUAAUUCUGUGUAACCUUUCCUUAAAAUAUUUGUUUCGUUUAUGAUAUUUCUGAAAGCGACAUUUCUCUAAUACAAAUUAACAAGAUAACAUUUAUCUAACAAGGAGAUUACCUAAUUCACAAAUUACAGUAAGCUUUUUUAUUUUUGAACAACCUCAGUAAGCUAUAUUUUUGUCAACACACAAUAUACUAAAUAAGAUUUUCUUUUUUUAUCAUAAACUAAAUAAGAUUUAAAUACUGGAAGUGCGACUAAAGGAGUUUUGUUCAAAUUUGCAAAGAGGAACAUUGAAAGUUAAAUACGUUGUUCACUGAUUUUUGUGUGUAGUUGUAUGAACAUCUUCAAAAAAAACUCUAUAAUUUCAAAUAUUAAGUUUUUUGAUCUUCAAAAAAAAUUUUAAUUUAAAAAAAAUAUGAAGUUUCACUAUGCAAAACUCUAAAUUUGAAGUUUUAUCUUUUUAUUUUCAUUUUAUUCCUUAUAAUUAAUUAUACAUCACAUUUAUAAUUUCUAUGUAGUUUUUCGUUUACCAUUUUAAUCUUUAAAAUUUUUAUAUAUCGGAAAUAUUUCAAAUUUAUUUUUAUAAAUUUUACACAUAAAAUUAAAUAAAUUUUUUUAAUAAGAUUUAUAAUAUUUUAAAACUAGAAUUAGGCAACAAGAAUAUUACAAAAGAAACUUAAUAAUUUUUUAAAAAAGUUAUACAUGAAGACAUAAUUAUCACGCAAAUUUUGAAUAUUAUAACAAUACUAGUAGUCUAGUAAAUUUUCUCUAGAACCUUUAAAAUAUUGUCCAAACAAAUUUUGUGUAACCAAAGAUGUAACAUUAUAGAAAUAAUUUUAUGGAAUAAUUUGGUAUUUUGCUUGUGUUUAAAUAUUUAAUUAUUUAAUUAUUUAUUUAUAUUUAUAAUUUUAUAUUUUAGUGUAAUAUUUUAUUAAUUAAUAUUACUGUAAUAUUUUUAUAUAUGUGCUAAUUAUUUGUAAAAAAUUUAUGGAUUUAUAUUAAUUAUGACAAAUACAAAGAUCAUAGGGUAAAUUACAAAUAAUUUUUAAAUUAAAUUUAAAUUUUUGUUGGAGAAAAACACUUUGAAAUUUCAUAUAUAGAAUUUUGAAAACUCUAAAAUAGAGAGAUUUUUUUUUCUUGACUGAUUUAUGUGUAGAUCUUUCUUUAUGUGUAGUUGUAAGACAUAAAUUUUUGUGUAGUUGCAAGACAUAAAUUUACCAUAAUAAAUUUAAAUGCGACUUGUGGUUUUUAUGUGUAGAUCUUUAUGUGUUACAACAUAAUUUUUUAUGUGUAGUUGUAACUUGUAAGACAUAAGUUUACCAUAAUAAUUUAAAACUGAACGAGAAAAAAUAAUUAACGACUUAUAUUAAUUACUAGAGUCCCUAAUAAUUAACAAGAUCUUUAAACUAUAAUGCGACUUGUAAUUUUUAUGUGUAGACCGUUAGAGCACAGUGACCUUAAGAGUAGUUUGAAGCUUGGUUUAUUGAGUUGUUAAGAUUGUUUGGGGCGUUUUGGUUUCAGGUGUCCUCAACGUAUAGCGAGGCGAGGGAACUAUGGUGCAUUCUUGAUGGAUAAUCUUCCUUUGGUGAAAUCACUUGUUGAAAAGUUAGCUCAGAACCUCACUGUUCCUGUCUCCUGCAAGAUCCGGAUUUUCCCUAACCUUCAAGAUACGCUCAACUACGCCAAGAUGCUUGAAGACGCUGGUUGCUCGCUGCUAGCGGUUCACGGCCGGACCAGAGAUGAGAAAGACGGUAAAAAGUUCAGAGCCGAUUGGGGCGCCAUCAAGGAGGUGAGAAACGCUCUG